rnacentral:rRNA from 1 species
GACGAACGCUGGCGGCGUGCUUAACACAUGCAAGUCGAACGGAAAGGCCCUGCUUUUGUGGGGUGCUCGAGUGGCGAACGGGUGUGUAACACGUGAGUAACCUCCCCUUGACUGUGGGAUAACUUCAGGAAACUGGGGCUAAUACCGGAUAUGAUCUCCUGCUGCAUUGUGGGGGUUGGAAAGUUUCGGCGGUGGGGGAUGGACUCGCGGCUUAUCAGCUGGUUGGUGGGGUAGUGGCUUACCAAGGCUUUGACGGGUAGCCGGCCUGAGAGGGUGACCGGCAACAUUGGGACUGAGAUACGGCCCAGACUCCUACGGGAGGCAGCAGUGGGGAAUAUUGCACAAUGGGCGGAAGCCUGAUGCAGCAACGCCGCGUGCGGGAUGACGGCCUUCGGGUUGUAAACCGAUUUGGCCUGUGACGAAGCGUGAGUGACGGUACCGGGUAAAGAAGCACCGGCUAACUACGUG